rnacentral:rRNA from 1 species
AUGAAUCUGGUGAGGGUUUGGGGAUUCUGUUCUGAUGGACCACACAGGAUAUUGGUUUUAGAGUAUGUUGAGAAUGGAUCGUUGGAUAAAAUACUGUUUAGCAGAGACUCACAGAUAUUACUUGAAUGGAAUAAAAGAUUUCAGAUUGCUCUAGGAGUGGCAAAAGGAUUGGCCUAUCUUCAUCACGAGUGCUUGGAGUGGGUUAUCCACUGUGACCUGAAGCCAGAGAACAGACUGUUGGAUGAGAACUUAGAGCCAAAGAUCACCGACUUUGGCCUUGCCAAACUUCUAAACAGAGGCGGGUCAAAUAAAAAUGUAUCGCGGAUCCAUGGAACUAGAGGUUAUAUAGCUCCUGAGUGGGUUUCUGGAUUCCCAAUAACAGCAAAGGUUGAUGUCUACAGCUUCGGAGUGGUUCUCCUAGAGCUACUCAAGGGGGCUCGUGUUUCAGACUGGGCACCAAAUGAAGACGAGGAACUGGAGAUGGUCCUUCGAAGGGUCAUUAAGAUGCUUGCAGAAAAUCUGAUGUUGGAGGGCAGCGAACAGUUAUGGAUCGCUGACUUCAUGGACUCCAGAUUGAACAGGCAGUUCAAUAACUUGCAAGCAAAAAUGAUGGUCAAGUUGGCUGUUUCAUGCGUAGAAAAAGAUAGUAGGAAAAGGCCUACCAUGGAAAAUGUUGUGCAGAUGCUUGUUUCGGUAGAUGAGGCAUUAGGCAUUAUGAAGCAUUACACUACGAACUAA